UUCCUCAGUAACGGCGAGUGAAGCGGGAAUAGCCCAGCACCGAAUCGGCUGCCGUUCGGCGAUCGAACUGUGGUGUAGGGACGGUCAAGUUCGUCGAUCGGACGCCCAAGUCGCUUGAACGCGGCCACGCCCAGAGAGGGUGCCAGGCCCGUAAUGCGUCCGGCGGCGACCGCGACCCUUUAGAGUCGUUGUGUUUGAUAGUGCACCCCAAAUGUGGUGGUAAACUCCAUCUAAGGCUAAAUACUGGCACGAGUCCUAUAGAGAACAGUACCGUGGGGGAAAGUUGAAAAAAAUUUUGAAGAGAGAGUUCAACUGUAUGUGAAACCGUCCAGAGGCAAACGGAGAAGACCGCAUUGUCGCGCGUCAGAUUCAUCCGUCUGCCGGCUGGAUCCUCUCGGCUUACCCCUCCGAGAUGGUCGGAACGUGCCGUCGCGCGGCGGCUGCCCUUCUUUCGACGUGCGCACCGCCACUAGGUUUUGCGGCGACACCAGCCCCGACAAGGUGAACGAUUUUUCGUCGUCGGAGCAUACAGGCGCGGCACCGCCUUUCGUCGGCGUGACCGAAGACCCUGUUACGGUUUCGUCUACAUGGUAGCAGUGUCUACCACAAGUUGCGGAGGACAGAAAAACAGUGCCCGAAACGCGGGGUCAUCCGUCGAAGGCCCGUCGAUUGUAGUAAUCGUUGGUAUAAUUGUCCGCCCCCUUAA
rnacentral:rRNA from 1 species